UUAAUUUUAUUUUAUUUUAUUUUUUGUCUUUUUAGGACUGUACCCACAGCAUAUGGAGGCUCCCAGGCUAGGGGUUGAAUAAGAGCUGUAGCCUCUGGCCCAGGAACUUCCCUGUGCUGUGGGUGUGGCUCCCUUUUCUCCCCCAAAAGUUGAAACAUUUAGACACAGUAUUGAUACAAUGAAAGUUACUGUUAAAUAAAGAUGGAACAUGAAAAUCCAAUUCAAACAAUGACCCAGGAUCCUUUAUACCUUCUUUUUGUAUUUUAUGAAAACAUGAUGUCCUCUUGAACAUAAGGGGAACAUAAAAUCACUUAAAAAUUAAUUUAUUUGACAAAAUUUAAAUAUCAAAGAGGACUGCUCAAAUAUUUUGUUCUAGUAUAAUAUUGAAUGUUGUUAUUAUAACCAGAAUUGCAGGGGAGAAUAAUUGAAUUAUGGGCAAUUGAACUCAUUUUUUGGAUAUAUGUAGUAUAGUAAAAAUUUAACAGUUGAGUACUUCAUACUUUAUAUAUAUGUUCUACACAGACUAUCACAUUUAAUUAUUUCAUUUAUUCAGAGUAAUGGAUGAAGUUUAUUGAAUGCUUAUUCUGUGCCAGCCACCUUGUUGAAAACUUUAUAUGUACUGUCUUAUUAAAUUUUCACAAUAUGCAGCCCAUGAAUUAAAUAGGUUUAUUAUGUCCAUUUUACAGAUGAGGAAAUUGAACCUUGGAGAGUUUUGAAACUUGCCCAUGAUUAUGUGGCUAGCUAGGGAUAGACCUGGAAUUUGAAUGCAGUUCUGUUUUAGUCAAAACCCCAUGCCCUUAACUGAGUUUGGUUUUUGUUUUUGUUUUUGUUUUUGUUUUUUUGUCUUUUUCUUAUGGUCGCACCUGUGGCAUAUGGAGGUUCCUAGGCUAGGGGUCGAAUCAUAGUUGUAGCCACUGCCCUAUGCCACAGCCACAGCAACGCAAGAUCCCAGCUGAGUCUACGACCUACCCCACAGCUCAUGGCAACACCGGAUGCUUGGCCCACUGAGCAAGGCCAGGGAUCGAACCUGCAUUCUCAUGGAUACUAGUCAGAUUCAUUUCCGCUGAGUCACGAUGGGAAUUCAAGAAUGCUUCUCAUAUCAACUGUAAACGAGGAAGAAAUGGUCAUAAUUUUAUAAUAUUUAAUGGAAAUUCUUGAAGUCCUUAGGCAUAAUCAGUUAAUGCUAUCUGAACAAAAUGCUUUACAUGCCACAAAGAAAAACCAACUGAGGUGUUCCCCUUGUGGCACAGUGGAAAUGAAUCUGGCUAGUGUCCAUGAGGAUGUGGGUUCAAUCCCUGGCCUUGCUCAGUGGGUUAAGGAUCCAGUGUUGCCGUGAGCUGUGGUGUAGGUCGCAGGCAUGGCUCAAAUCUGGCAUUGCUGUAGGCCGGUAGCCCUAUUGGACCCCUAGCCUGGGAAGUUACAUGUGCUGCGGGUAUGGCCC
rnacentral:lncRNA from 1 species